UACGGGGGGGGCAAGCGUUGUUCGGAAUUACUGGGCGUAAAGGGCUCGUAGGUGGCCAACUAAGUCAGACGUGAAAUCCCUCGGCUUAACCGGAGAACUGCGUCUGAUACUGGAUGGCUUGAGUUUGGGAGAGGGACGCGGAAUUCCAGGUGUAGCGGUGAAAUGCGUAGAUAUCUGGAGGAACACCGGUGGCGAAGGCGGCGUCCUGGACCAACACUGACACUGAUGAGCGAAAGCGUGGGUAGCAAACAGG
rnacentral:rRNA from 1 species